UAGACUUGGUUCAAGUCCGUCUCUCAAGGGGUUGAAAAUAGCGAUGCACGCGAGAUGUUAAAAAUGGCGCGAAAAUAUGAGAGAAAAGUAGGGAGAGACAGACUUGGAUACCCUGCAAGCGCGCCAAAUUUUACCGUCUGAUUUUUCCUACGGAGGCGUGGCUUACCAAUUGAGAACAACAACAAAUUUUCGCGCCAAUUUU
rnacentral:lncRNA from 1 species